GUCAGCACGGAACGGCAUGGUGCCCGUCACCAUGAAGAAAAGGAGCACCCCCAUUGCCCACACGUCCACAGGAGGCCCCAGGUAGCACUCGUCCUUGAAGAGCUCCGGGGCGGCAUACGGAGGCGCUGGCGGUGAACAGAACAUUCUCUGCCUUCAGGUCUCGGUGGAUGAUGUUAUUAUUGUGCUGCAAGGUCUCCCCCACCAGCAUACUCCAGCACCAGGUAGAGGCGGCUUGGCGUCUCCACCACUUCAUAGAGACGGAUGACAUUCGGGUGCUGGAUGGAGUUCAUGUUGCUGACUUCUCUGGAGAGAAGCCGCUGGGCCUGAUUGUCAAAUCUUGUCUUGUCCACGAUCUUAAGGGCCACUUUGUCUAUGAGGACACAUAAUAAGACUUCAAACACAUUGGCUGUUUGGAUGAAUAACUUUGAAAAAAUUAGGGUAUAAAAAAUGGAUGAUGGUUUUAUGGUAAAUCAGAACCAAAUUUAA